ACACCUAUGGUGAAGCGGUUAUCAUGCUUGCCUUCCAUGACGGAAAAUGAUUUGACUAGCAAGCGGCAGGGGUUCGACUCCCCUUGGGUGUA